GGAGGGACACACCACGAUGACUGCUCAUGAACAAAAUAUCUAGGUGGUUCAGCAGCCUCGACUCGGCGCUGUUUCGGAACACGGCUGGACUCAACUUUCUGUGAGACGACGAGACACGGUAAGGAAGCUGGAGUCAUUUCUCGUGAAGGGACGAGAGGCUGCGAAGGAGUGUGGUAAUGAUCGCUGUGUUGUGUCAUAACAUCUACACGAAUCCUGAGGUGUGUACAAACAGCAGAAAUUCAUCAGCAAUUAUAAAGAAACUUGGCAAGACCACAACAAUUCAAGUAAAAAAAAAAGAAAGAAAGAAAAAGAAAGAAAGAAAGAAAGAAAGAAAGCUAGAGUAUCGCUCCCCAGAAUGUCAAUUAUUGUCUUUUCACUGUAGCACAUGGAUAAGGUCAAUUGCCAAGCACUUCACGGGGGGACGCCGGCCAGGGUGGACUUCGCUCACACUGGCCUUCCCUUCACGAAAGCCUCAGCGGCGGGCAACUGGCUGAAUGCUGCCACACUUUCAGUCUUUCACUGUGGGGCAGCUUAACGACCAACUUCGGAAACUCUCACUGGAGCUUCUUGAUGGCACCGAAACACGCCACCAGAUGCCUCUGAGUGUAACUUUUCCUGCUCACUCAGCGCCUCCGUCAGCCAGGCAGCGCACCAUCCACCUACCACUGAGACCCCUGAUAAUGACUGUGCCUUUCUCUCUCUCUCUCUCUCUCUCUCUCUCUCUCUCUCUCUCUCUCUCUCUCUCUCUCAUUCAUCCAUCUUUACCCUCCACAUCCACCUCCUCCUCCUCCUUCUUUUCUUUCCUUCCUUCCUUCAUUCAUUCCUUCUUCCUUGCUUUUCUUUUCUUUCUUUUGUUUCCUCACACUAUGCUUUCGUCUCCCUCUUGACCACUUUCCCGGAGACGCUUUUUUAGGCGCUGGGGCGAGCCUCCCUGGAACGACUGCCUCUGAAUAUGCAACGACCCACCGUUUUACUGCCACACACACACACACACACACACACACACACACACACA